AUUGAACGCUGGCGGCAUGCCUUACACAUGCAAGUCGAACGGUAACGGGCCUUCGGGUGCUGACGAGUGGCGCACGGGUGAGUAAUACAUCGGAACGUGCCCGAUCGUGGGGGAUAACGAGGCGAAAGCUUUGCUAAUACCGCAUACGAUCUACGGAUGAAAGCAGGGGACCGCAAGGCCUUGCGCGGACGGAGCGGCCGAUGGCAGAUUAGGUAGUUGGUGGGAUAAAAGCUUACCAAGCCGACGAUCUGUAGCUGGUCUGAGAGGAUGAUCAGCCACACUGGGACUGAGACACGGCCCAGACUCCUACGGGAGGCAGCAGUGGGGAAUUUUGGACAAUGGGCGCAAGCCUGAUCCAGCCAUGCCGCGUGCAGGAUGAAGGCCUUCGGGUUGUAAACUGCUUUUGUACGGAACGAAAAGCCUUCUUUUAAUACAGGAGGGUCAUGACGGUACCGUAAGAAUAAGCACCGGCUAACUACGUG
rnacentral:rRNA from 1 species